rnacentral:tRNA from 1 species
GGGGUUGUGGCUCAGUGGUAGAGUGCUCACCUAGCAUAUGUGAGGCACUGGGUUCAAUCCUCAGCACCACA